rnacentral:tRNA from 1 species
GCCGCGGUAGCUCAGCCUCGCUAGAGCGCUGCCCUGGUAUUUAGGGCAGAAAGGCAGAGGUCCCGGGUUCAAAUCCCGGCCGCGGCU